rnacentral:sRNA from 1 species
GCUGGGCACAGUGGUGCAUACCUGUAAUCCCAGCGGCUCUGAGGCUGAGGCAGGAGGAUCAUGAGUUCGAAGCCAGCCUUGGCAAUUCAGUGAGACCCUGUCUCUA